CCUACGGGAGGCAGCAGUGGGGAAUUUUGGACAAUGGACGCAAGUCUGAUCCAGCCAUGCCGCGUGUGGGAAGAAGGCCUUCGGGUUGUAAACCACUUUUGUCAGGGAAGAAACGGCUCGGGUUAAUACCUUGGGCUAAUGACGGUACCUGAAGAAUAAGCACCGGCUAACUACGUGCCAGCAGCCGCGGUAAUACGUAGGGUGCAAGCGUUAAUCGGAAUUACUGGGCGUAAAGCGUGCGCAGGCGGUUAUGCAAGACAGAUGUGAAAUCCCCGGGCUCAACCUGGGAACUGCAUUUGUGACUGCAUGGCUAGAGUACGGUAGAGGGGGAUGGAAUUCCGCGUGUAGCAGUGAAAUGCGUAGAUAUGCGGAGGAACACCGAUGGCGAAGGCAAUCCCCUGGACCCGUACUGACGCUCAUGCACGAAAGCGUGGGGAGCAAACAGGAUUAGAUACCCUGGUAGUCCACGCCCUAAACGAUGUCAACUGGUUGUUGGGAGGGUUUCUUCUCAGUAACGUAGCUAACGCGUGAAGUUGACCGCCUGGGGAGGACGGCGCGAGUAGAACGACAAGAAGUAGAGCGNGAGAGNGCGACGACGACGACGAGGGAGGAGG
rnacentral:rRNA from 1 species